CUACGGGUUGCUCCAGUGGGGAAUAUUGCACAAUGGGCGCAAGCCUGAUGCAGCAACGCCGCGUGAGCGAAGAAGGCUUUCGAGUCGUAAAGCUCUGUCCUAAGGGAAGAAUAAAUGACGGUACCUUAGGAGGAAGCCCCGGCUAACUACGUGCCAGCAGCCGCGGUAAUACGUAGGGGGCAAGCGUUAUCCGGAAUAACUGGGCGUAAAGGGUGCGUAGGCGGCUAAUCAAGUCAGAUGUGAAAGGCAGUGGCUCAACCAUUGUAAGCAUUUGAAACUGAAUAGCUUGAGUGCAGGAGAGGAAAGUGGAAUUCCUAGUGUAGCGGUGAAAUGCGUAGAUAUUAGGAGGAACACCAGUGGCGAAGGCGACUUUCUGGACUGUAACUGACGCUGAGGCACGAAAGCGUGGGGAGCGAACAGGAUUAGAUACCCGGGUAGUC
rnacentral:rRNA from 1 species